rnacentral:rRNA from 1 species
CUUACAAGGAUUCCCCUAGUAACGGCGAGCGAACCGGGAACARCCCAGCUUGAGAAUCGGGCGGGUAACACCGUUCGAAUUGUAGUCUGGAGAGGCGUCCUCAGCGACGGACCGAGCCCAAGUUCCCUGGAAAGGGACGCCUGGGAGGGUGAGAGCCCCGUCCGGCCCGGACCCUGUCGCACCACGAGGCGCCGUCAACGAGUCGGGUUGUUUGGGAAUGCAGCCCUAAUCGGGCGGUAAACUCCGUCCAAGGCUAAAUACAGGCGAGAGACCGAUAGCGAACAAGUACCGCGAGGGAAAGAUGAAAAGGACUUUGAAAAGAGAGUCAAAGAGUGCUUGAAAUUGCCGGGAGGGAAGCGGAUGGGGGCCGGCGAUGCGCCUCGGCCGUAUGCGGAACGGCUCCGGCUGGUCCGCCGCUCGGCUCGAGGCGUUGACUGUUGUCGGCUGCACCGGCGGCCUAAGUCCGGGGGCUCUAGGUGCCUCCGGUUUCCGUCGUCGGCGCGGCCGGUUACCGCGCGCCGCAAGGCGCGUCCCUCGGGACGCUGCGCUGCAACGGCCAGUGGGCUCCCCAUCCGACCCGUCUUGAAACACGGACCAAGGAGUCUGACAUGCGUGCGAGUCGACGGGUUCUGAAACCUGGGAUGCGCAAGGAAGCUGACGAG